UACAGAGGGCUCAAGCGUUGUUCGGAUUCAUUGGGCGUAAAGGGUGUGUAGGCGGCGCGCUAAGUCGGGUGUGAAAUUUCGGAGCUUAACUCCGAAACUGCAUUCGAUACUGGCGUGCUUGAGGACUGGAGAGGAGACUGGAAUUCAUGGUGUAGCAGUGAAAUGCGUAGAGAUCAUGAGGAAGACCAGUGGCGAAGGCGGGUCUCUGGACAGUUCCUGACACUGAGACACGAAGGCCAGGGGAGCAAACGGG
rnacentral:rRNA from 1 species